rnacentral:rRNA from 1 species
CCUACGGGAGGCUGCAGUGAGGAAUAUUGGUCAAUGGACGAGAGCCUGAACCAGCCAAGCAGCGUGAAGGAUGACUGCCCUAUGGGUUGUAACCUUCUUUUAUAAAGGAAUAAAACGAGGCACGUGUGCCUUUUUGCAUGUACUUUAUGAACAAGGAUCGGCUAACUCCGUGCCAGCAGCCGCGGUAAUACGGAGGAUUCGAGAGUUAUCCGGAUUUAUUGGGUUUAAAGGGAGCGUAGAUGGGUUGUUAAGUCAGUUGUGAAAUUUUGCGGCUCAACCGUGAAAUUGCAAUUGAUACUGGCAGUCUUGAGUACAGUUGAGGUAGGCGGAAUUCGUGGUGUAGCGGUGAAAUGCUUAGAUAUCACGAAGAACCCCGAUUGCGAAGGCAGCUUACUAAACUGUGACUGACGUUGAUGCUCGAAAGUGUGGGUAGCAAACAGGAUUAGAUACCCGAGUAGUC